AAUGCACCAAUUUGUAAGUCGCUCUGGAUAUAAGCGUCUGCUAAAUGACGUAAA
rfam:Salmo salar isolate Sally breed double haploid chromosome ssa05, whole genome shotgun sequence.